GUGACCUAGAAAAUGGUUUCUACAGAACUGCAGGAGAAGUGUUUUCUGUCAGCUUAGCUCAGGGUGGCCCAGCACCAUGCUUCUUCAGAAAUUGGUGUUACCAGUUUCUUGCAACAGGGGAUUUUGAUGCUCUGCAGCUGACCAAAGAUGAUGUGGAUGAUCUUGAAUAUGCUUUACUCAUCGAAAGGGUGGAGGCAGCAACUGAUCUGACACAGUUGACAGAUGAAAUCGUGAGUUGUGGUUACACUGGUGUGCUAAAGAUGGACCG